rnacentral:rRNA from 1 species
UACGUAGGGUGCGAGCGUUGUCCGGAAUUAUUGGGCGUAAAGGGUGCGUAGAUGGCCUGAUAAGUUAGCAGUGGGAAAUCGAGGCUCAACCUCGUGGAAGCUGGUAAUACUGUCAGGCUCGAGUGCAGGAGAGGUUAACGGAACUCCAUGUGGAGCGGUAAAAUGUGUAGAUAUAUGGAAGAACACCAAUAACGGCGAAGGCAGUUAACUAUUCUGUUACUGACAUUGAGGCACGAAAGCGUGGGGAGCAAAACGG